CAGUAGCCGCGGUAAUACGUAGGGUCCGAGCGUUGUCCGGAAUUAUUGGGCGUAAAGAGCUCGUAGGCGGUUCGUCGCGUCUGCCGUGAAAUCCUCAGGCUCAACCUGAGGCGUGCGGUGGGUACGGGCGGGCUAGAGUGCGGUAGGGGAGAAUGGAACUCCUGGUGUAGCGGUGGAAUGCGCAGAUAUCAGGAAGAACACCGAUGGCGAAGGCAGUUCUCUGGGCCGUAACUGACGCUGAGGAGCGAAAGCGUGGGGAGCGAACAGGAUUAGAUACCCCAGUAGUCCCUGUCUCUUAUAC
rnacentral:rRNA from 1 species